rnacentral:rRNA from 1 species
GGGUUGUGAGGUUAAGCGACUAAGCGUACACGGUGGAUGCCCUGGCAGUCAGAGGCGAUGAAGGACGUGCUAAUCUGCGAUAAGCGUCGGUAAGGUGAUAUGAACCGUUAUAACCGGCGAUUUCCGAAUGGGGAAACCCAGUGUGUUUCGACACACUAUCAUUAACUGAAUCCAUAGGUUAAUGAGGCGAACCGGGGGAACUGAAACAUCUAAGUACCCCGAGGAAAAGAAAUCAACCGAGAUUCCCCCAGUAGCGGCGAGCGAACGGGGAGCAGCCCAGAGCCUGAAUCAGUGUGUGUGUUAGUGGAAGCGUCUGGAAAGGCGCGCGAUACAGGGUGACAGCCCCGUACACAAAAAUGCACAUACUGUGAGCUCGAUGAGUAGGGCGGGACACGUGGUAUCCUGUCUGAAUAUGGGGGGACCAUCCUCCAAGGCUAAAUACUCCUGACUGACCGAUAGUGAACCAGUACCGUGAGGGAAAGGCGAAAAGAACCCCGGCGAGGGGAGUGAAAAAGAACCUGAAACCGUGUACGUACAAGCAGUGGGAGCACGCUUAGGCGUGUGACUGCGUACCUUUUGUAUAAUGGGUCAGCGACUUAUAUUCUGUAGCAAGGUUAACCGAAUAGGGGAGCCGAAGGGAAACCGAGUCUUAACUGGGCGUUAAGUUGCAGGGUAUAGACCCGAAACCCGGUGAUCUAGCCAUGGGCAGGUUGAAGGUUGGGUAACACUAACUGGAGGACCGAACCGACUAAUGUUGAAAAAUUAGCGGAUGACUUGUGGCUGGGGGUGAAAGGCCAAUCAAACCGGGAGAUAGCUGGUUCUCCCCGAAAGCUAUUUAGGUAGCGCCUCGUGAAUUCAUCUCCGGGGGUAGAGCACUGUUUCGGCAAGGGGGUCAUCCCGACUUACCAACCCGAUGCAAACUGCGAAUACCGGAGAAUGUUAUCACGGGAGACACACGGCGGGUGCUAACGUCCGUCGUGAAGAGGGAAACAACCCAGACCGCCAGCUAAGGUCCCAAAGUCAUGGUUAAGUGGGAAACGAUGUGGGAAGGCCCAGACAGCCAGGAUGUUGGCUUAGAAGCAGCCAUCAUUUAAAGAAAGCGUAAUAGCUCACUGGUCGAGUCGGCCUGCGCGGAAGAUGUAACGGGGCUAAACCAUGCACCGAAGCUGCGGCAGCGACACUAUGUGUUGUUGGGUAGGGGAGCGUUCUGUAAGCCUGUGAAGGUGUGCUGUGAGGCAUGCUGGAGGUAUCAGAAGUGCGAAUGCUGACAUAAGUAACGAUAAAGCGGGUGAAAAGCCCGCUCGCCGGAAGACCAAGGGUUCCUGUCCAACGUUAAUCGGGGCAGGGUGAGUCGACCCCUAAGGCGAGGCCGAAAGGCGUAGUCGAUGGGAAACAGGUUAAUAUUCCUGUACUUGGUGUUACUGCGAAGGGGGGACGGAGAAGGCUAUGUUGGCCGGGCGACGGUUGUCCCGGUUUAAGCGUGUAGGCUGGUUUUCCAGGCAAAUCCGGAAAAUCAAGGCUGAGGCGUGAUGACGAGGCACUACGGUGCUGAAGCAACAAAUGCCCUGCUUCCAGGAAAAGCCUCUAAGCAUCAGGUAACAUCAAAUCGUACCCCAAACCGACACAGGUGGUCAGGUAGAGAAUACCAAGGCGCUUGAGAGAACUCGGGUGAAGGAACUAGGCAAAAUGGUGCCGUAACUUCGGGAGAAGGCACGCUGAUAUGUAGGUGA